rnacentral:misc_RNA from 1 species
AAGGAAUCGUCUCCUCCGAGGUAGCCGAAGGCUCCUUCUACGAUUUGCUCGGUAUAUCUCAGUCCGGAUCCUUGGAGGAAAUCAAGCGCGCGUACAAGCAGCUCGCUCGGAAGUACCAUCCGGACGUGUCGCCGCCGGGCCGUGCGGAGGAGUAUACGAAGAGGUUCAUUCGUGUUCAGGAGGCGUACGAGACAUUGUCAGAUCCGAGGAGGAGAGCGCUGUAUGAUAGAGAUAUGGUUGGAGGUCUUCAAGUCGCGUUCUCUGCUCGGAGACGAUACGACGCCGAUGAGGAAGUUCCAGGGAGAAGUGGAUGGAAAAAUUGCUGGCAGGCUCAGAUCUCAGAAUUGAAGAGAAGAAGCAUGGACAAGGAUUCGAGACAAAAUAUGUCAUGGGGAGCUCGAAUGCGCCGGCAAAUGAAUGAACAGG